rnacentral:snRNA from 1 species
CGUCCUCAGCGACGGACCGGG